rnacentral:rRNA from 1 species
AAGUCGUAACAAGGUUUUCGUAGGUGAACCUGCGGAAGGAUCAUUAAUGAAUUCGGGCGCUCGACUCUGAAAUAUUGAGAUCGGCCCCAUUUCUUAAUCCACUUCACACUUGUGCACAUUUUUCCUACUUUCCUUCGGGAGAGUUUGAAAAGCUCUUGUGAUUUUAAUCAAGUCCAGGAUGUGAAUCCAAUUUGAAUAAGUUGUAAAACAACUACAAACGGUGGAUCUCUUGGCUCUCGUAUCGAUGAAGAACGCAGCGAAACGCGAAAUGUAAUGUGAAUUGCAGAAUUCAGUGAAUCAUCGAAUCUUUGAACGCAUCUUGCACUCUCGAAUCACUAUCGAGAGUAUGCCUGUUUGAGUGUCGCGAAACUCUCAACCCCGCCUCAUGCUUUAUUGCGUGUGGGUAGCUUGGGCUUGGAUCAUGAUCUUUGCAGUAAUGCGCUAGCAGAACUGCUGGAUUGAAAUACAACAAGCUGAAUCUAUAUACUUGCGGCUUGACCUGUCGUUGUAAGCACACAAAUGCAUUCGAUGGGGACGCGAGAAAAUGGAAUGAGCUUUCCAAAUGUGUUACACUUUGCAGCUUCUAUUAACUUAGAGCUCUUAGUGCAUUCUGACCUCAAAUCAGGUAGGAUUACCCGCUGAACUUAA